rnacentral:RNase_P_RNA from 2 species
GGAAGGAAGCUCACUGUAGAGGUCACGCGCUGGGUGUAUCGAUCACCCUCCUUGCUACCUUUGGGAAGGUCUGAGAGAAGGGCCAAGUGUCGCCUUAGCAGGGCGCCAUCUUAGGAAGGUGGGUGAGUUCCCAGCAAUAGGGGUCUCCUGUAAUGCCCCAGUUUGAGGCAGGAGAAGCGGGGCUGGAGGGGCUACUCCCUCCUUCCUGCGGAUGCCUCCGUGGCUUACGCGGGGCUUGGGAAUGACUCACGGCCGGCAACGUUGAGUACAAUGGGCAGAGGUGAAGCGGCCGCUUCAUAACCCAAUUCAGACCACUCUCCGGAAUUCC